GGGUUCGGACCGAAGGAGGUAGCGGGACGAUUGUGAAAACGAGGGAGAGACAGUAGCGGAAGCCCGGGGGCUGCACCUGGGCCGGAGAUGGCGGGCGGGACGAAGGGGGUCACUUACGACAAGUGCCCCGCCGGGCGCUCGGCACCCAGGAGUCGUCUUCCCACUUUCCCACCUGUGAAAUCUUCCUGAAUUUCUCUACGCCUCAGUUUCCCCAUCUAAAAGUGGGAAUACAGCAUCUGCUUCACAGGGUCGUUGUGAGGAUUAAGACUUACGUAAAUCUGGCACGUCGUAAGGACUCAGGAAGAUUAGCCCUGAGCUAACUGCUGCCAAUCGUCCUCUUUUUGCUGAGGAAGACUGGCCCUGAGCUAACAUCCUCCUCUACUUUAUAUGUGGGACACCUACCACAGCAUGGCCUGUCAAGCGGUACCAUGUCCGCACCCGGGAUCCGAAGCGGUGAACCCCGGGCCGCCGAAGCGGAAUGUGUGCACUUAACCGCUGCGCCACCGGGCUGGCCCCAGCAACUCACUUCUAAUCAACAGAGUGUGGUGGAAGUGAUGGUGUGUGACUUCUGAGCCCAGGUCUUCCCAGUCUCCUCUCUCUUUCUUGGGUCACUUGCUCUGAGGCACGCUGGCUCCCAUGCUGUGAGCACACCUAAGCAGCCCAAUGGGGAGCUCCAGGUCAAAAGGCAACGAGGCCUCUGCCAACAGCCGGGUGAUGAAGCCAUCUUGAAAGUGGAUCCUCCAGCUGGCCAAGCCUCCACACACCUGCGGCCCUGGCCGAAGUCUUAACCGCAAGCUCGUGAGACACCGCGGCCAGCACCACCCAGCUAAGCUGCUCUGGAAUUUCUGCCCCACAGAAACUGUGGGGGAUGGUGUUUGUUGAUUUAAGCCGCUGAGGUUUGGGGUAAUUUACUACGCAGCAGUAGAAAACUAAGAGUCCCCCAGUCCUAGAGCAGUGGUUCUCAACCCUGGCUGGGCACCGGUAUUCCCCACGAGGCAGUGUGUGUUCAGUGGCUAGAGAAUGAGCCCAGUGGUCAGAGUGGCUGGGUGUAAACUCUGAUUGUGCCACUUGCCAAUUGUGUGCCUUUGGGUAAGUGACUUACCCUCUCCCAGCUUUAGUGACUCCCCCGUAAGGCGGUGUUAACAGAACUUACCUCCUUAGGACUGUUAGGAAGACCAAACAAGAAAAUACAUGUCAGUUCUGCCUCGGAGGUAAGCUGCAAGAGAGAAAGCUACGGUCUGUCCUGUUGAUUGCUGCAGCCCAGUGUCUAGAACAGGCCUGGAACACAGGAAGGGCUCAGGAAAUAUUUCUUGCUACAGAAUGAAGUCAGUAAACUGAGAGAACUCAGAAAUGCCAGCUCCUGUCAGCCCCCUGGCUUUCCAACCUCCGCCUUCUCUACUGGGCCCUGCUAACGUUCUCCAGCUGCAACUGUGGGACUCGGCUCUCAGUGUUCAACCCUCUUCCCUGUCUUUAUCCAUUUUCUCCGCUGACUUUAUCCAUUUUCUGGCUUGAAACACCACCUCAACCCGGUGAUUCCGCCCUUUCCAUCUUCAGCCCGGAGCUCUCCUCUCUUGUACCCAACUGCUUCCUUGACAUCUCCUUGAACGCCUAACGGGCUUCUCACACUCAACGUGUCCAACACCAAAAUGCUGGACUCUUCCCCCAAACCUCCUCCUCCUGCUGUCAUCCAUCUCAGGGGCAGCUCCAUCCUUCUACUUACUGAGGCCAAAAAUCUUGGAGUCCUCUUCGACUCGUCUCCUUCACUCACAUCCCACAUCCAGUUCACCAGCAAAUCCUACUGGUCCUUUCCUCAGAAUACACUGGAAUCGUGCCGCUUCUUAGCUGCUCCUGGGCCACCACUGUGACUGAGCUGCCAGCAUCUCUCACCUUGAUUAUCUUUUUUUUUUUUUUUGAGGAAGAUUAGUCCUGAGCUAACUACUGCCAAUCCUCCUCUUUUUGCUGAGGAAGACUGGCCCUGAGCUAACAUCCAUGCCCAUCUUCCUCUACUUUAUAUGUGAGACGCCUACCACAGCAUGGCUUUCCAAGUGGUGCCAUGUCCACACCCAGGAUCUGAACUGGCGAACCCCGGGCCGCCGAGAAGCAGAACGUGCGAACCUACUGCUGUGCCACCGGGCCGGCCCCUCACCUGGAUUAUCUUGAUGGCACCCGACCUGGUCUCCCUGUCUCAGCCCUUGGCCUCCUACAGUGUAUUGUCCACACAGUAUCCAAAAGGAUUCCUCCCAGCUCCGUGCUCUAUUAUUCCAAUGGCUUCUCCUCCUACUCAGAUUAAAAGCUGAAGCCCUGGGGCUGGCCCCGUGGCCGAGUGGUUAAGUUCACGCGCUCCGCUGCAGUGGCCCAGGAUUUCACCGGUUCAGAUCCUGGGCGCGGACAUGGCACUGCUCGUCAAGACAUGUUGAGGCAGCAUCCCAAAUGCCACAACUAGAAGGACCUGCAACUAAGAUAUACAAGUAUGUGCCGGGGGGAUGUGGGGAGAUAAAGCAGAAAAAAAAAAAAAAAAAAAGAUUGGCAGCAGUUAUUCGCUCAGGUGCCAAUCUUUAAAAAAGAAAAAAAAAAGUUGAAGCCCUUGUGAUGUCCUUCAAGGUCGAUAUAGUGCCUGACAUGCCCAUUUCUCCGAUUGCAUCUCCUACUACUCUCCCCAUUUCCUUGGCCUCCUUGUUCCCUCCAAUAUUCAGGCAUGCUCCCACCUCAGGGCCUUUGCACUUUCUGUUCCCUUUGCUUUCUACCUGAUCUUCUUCAGGUCUUUCAUCAAAAAUCUUUCUCAGUGAGACCUUCCCUAACUGACCUGACAUCCAAUUUCAAAGUGGAAUCGAUCAGCAUCUUGCACUCCUUUCCUUGUCCUGUUUCACUCCAUGACAUUUGUCUGAUACACCAUAUAUUUUACUGGUUUACUCAUGUGUGUCUCCUCCCAAUAGACAUCCUCAGGAGAGCAGGGAUUACUGUCUGUUUUGUUCACUGCUGUCUCCCCAGUUCCUGGCACAUAGUAGGUGCUCAGUAAAUUUUUUUUUAAAGGAAGAUUAGCCUUGAGCUAACAUCUACUGCCAAUCCUCCUCUUUUUGCUGAGGAAGACUGGCCCUGAGCUAACAUCCCUGCCCAUCUUCCUCUACUUUAUACGUGAGAUGCCUGCCGCAGCAUGGCUUGCCAAGCAGUGCGUAGGUCCGUGCCUGGGAUCUGGACCGGCAAACCUUGGGCCACUGAAGUGGAACAUGUGAACUUAACCACUGUGCCACCGGGCCGGCCCCCUGAAUAAACAUUUGAAGGAUGAAUUCAGAUGCUUGGGCCCCAUGAAUUAGAACCUGGUGUGUGUAGGUAGAGCCCAGAAAUCUGUAUUUUGAAAAGGCACCCCUCGUAGUUGGGGUGGAGAAGCCCUACGUCGGAAUGGCAGCAGUAGAGAGGCCCACAAAUAUCACGCCCAGUCCAGCCCUCUCAUUUCACCGAUGAUGAUCGGGGAGGCCCGAGCAGGGAGCAGUUGCCCCAGGUUGCAGGGAGGGUCGGGGCAGAGGAAGAACUAGAAUUUAGAUGCGGGCGCCCAGCACAGGGCUCUCUCUGCAGCCCCGGCCUGCCUGGGCCCGCCCAGUCUGAUUCCAGGGCAGGCUGUGAGGGGAACCGCUGAGUCACUGGAACAGAGGCUCAGGGCUGGGGGCGCCCCCAGCGCAGGGUGCAGUGGGGCGGCACGGAGCUGCCCUCACCUCCUCUGGGUGACUGAGGCUGAGAAGGAAAGGCAGAGCUCAUUCUGGCCUCCGACCCUGAGGCAGCCUCCCUUCCAGGAGCCUUUCCUCCGCCCGAACUAACCUAGUGGCGAAGUUAUGUCAAUGUUUAACUUCAAGAGUUGAUCACAGCCUUUGGAAUGACUAAUCAUUAAAAAAAAUGGUAAGACUAGUCAGUGACAAUUGAAAUUGAGCUUUAAGGAGAUGUUAAAAUCUAGCUGGCAGGCAGAAUUUGGUGGGGCCUCUGUGACAUUGGAGUGGGGGAAGUUUCAAAAAUGUUUGAAUGCCUCUGUACCUGGAUCUAGGAUUUCCCAAACCUGGAGCCCUUGAAAAAACGCAGAUUCCAUCAUUGCCCAGAUGUUGGGUUCCGUGUGUCUUGGAUCAGGCUCAGGAAUUUGGGUCUUAAGGAUUUCUUAUGCUUGCAAGGCUGAGAAACACUGCCCUGGGCCAGGAGCCGGUGGAGUACUGGAUCUUGUAGACUAAUGAGGCCUCCUCCCUCAUUCCUACUCUGUUUAGAAGCUGCAAGACACAAUUUCAGUGCAUUAAAGAAAAAACUAGGAUGUCUGUAAACCCCAGUGGACCAUCGCACUUGUCAGAUGCAUCUAUUGCUCCAAAGAAUGCCCUGGGCACCUUGGGACUCAGCAGUUACUGAAGAUGGUCUGUCCUGCCCGGAUUAUUCCAGUGGGCAGAGGUUGCUAGGAGAUGGCCCCGGGAUGGCAGGAGAUGGCAGGAGCUGGGGGAGCGUCACUGGGCUCCGUGGGAAG
ensembl:lncRNA